GAUGAAGAACGUAGCGAAAUGCGAUAAGUAAUGUGAAUUCCAGAAUUCAGUGAAUCAUCGAAUCUUUGAACGCACAUUGCGCCCGCCAGCAUUCUGGCGGGCAUGCCUGUUCGAGCGUCAUUUCAACCCUCGAGCCCCCCCGGGGGCCUCGGUGUUGGGGGACGGCACACCAGCCGCCCCCGAAAUGCAGUGGCGACCUCGCCGCAGCCUCCCCUGCGUAGUAGCACACACCUCGCACCGGAGCGCGGAGACGGUCACGCCGUAAAACGCCCAACUUCUUAGAGUUGACCUCGGAUCAGGUAGGAAUACCCGCUGAACUUAAGCAUAUCAAUAAGCGGAGGA
rnacentral:misc_RNA from 1 species